GCCUCGGUAGCUCAACUUGGAUUCAGAGCGGCUGCGUAAGACAUUGUCUGCGGAACCUAAGCAGUAGGUUGAGGGUUCAAAUCCCUUCCGGGGCA
rnacentral:tRNA from 1 species